CUACGGGAAGGCCUGUUGCUACUCUGUGAUCGGAUGUGCCCUCUGCAGAAAGCAUAUAACAAAUAAGGGUAAAAUAUAGGAUGCUUCGCUUGGAGGACAGGGUCUCCUACUCAGAGUAACAGAACACUGAACAUGAUGGGGCUGGAAGAUUGCAUGUCGAAGACUCCUUUGCAGAUUUUCCUCCUUGCGUUGGCUGCGGAUCCCCAGAACCCUGCUCAACAAAGCAGUGGAAAAUGUUGCUUAGGAAUUCCAGAUCCCAAGAGAGUGGGCAACUCCCUCAUCAGAGGUGGAUUAUGUUGGCGUACUGCCUCAAUGGAAGACGUUUUGGGAACCCGGUACACAUAAGUGUACUACUGUGACAGUGUACAUCAAGUUCAUCAAGCAGAGCUUCGGUGGUCAUGCAGGUAAAAAUGGUUUUCUUUUUGUUUGUUUGUUUUUUGUUUUUGUCUUAAAGUACCAGG
rnacentral:lncRNA from 1 species